UACGGAGGGGGCAAGCGUUGUUCGGAAUUACUGGGCGUAAAGGGCUCGUAGGCGGCCAACUAAGUCAGACGUGAAAUCCCUCGGCUUAACCGGGGAACUGCAUCUGAUACUGGAUGGCUUGAGUUCGGGAGAGGGAUGCGGAAUUCCAGGUGUAGCGGUGAAAUGCGUAGAUAUCUGGAGGAACACCGGUGGCGAAGGCGGCAUCCUGGACCGACACUGACGCUGAGGAGCGAAAGCCAGGGGAGCAAACAGG
rnacentral:rRNA from 1 species